GACGAACGCUGGCGGCGUGCUUAACACAUGCAAGUCGAACGGAAAGGCCCUGCUUUUGUGGGGUGCUCGAGUGGCGAACGGGUGAGUAACACGUGAGUAACCUGCCCUUGACUUUGGGAUAACUUCAGGAAACUGGGGCUAAUACCGGAUAGGAGCUCCUGCUGCAUGGUGGGGGUUGGAAAGUUUCGGCGGUUGGGGAUGGACUCGCGGCUUAUCAGCUUGUUGGUGGGGUAGUGGCUUACCAAGGCUUUGACGGGUAGCCGGCCUGAGAGGGUGACCGGCCACAUUGGGACUGAGAUACGGACCAGACUCCUACGGGAGGCAGCAGUGGGGAAUAUUGCACAAUGGGCGGAAGCAUGAUGCAGCAACGCCGCGUGCGGGAUGACGGCCUUCGGGUUGUAAACCGCUUUCGCCUGUGACGAAGCGUGAGUGACGGUAAUGGGUAAAGAAGCACCGGCUAACUACGUG
rnacentral:rRNA from 1 species